AGAGUUUGAUCAUGGCUCAGAACGUACGCUGGCGGCACGCCUAACACAUGCAAGUCGAACGAAGUAGCAAUACUUAGUGGCAGACGGGUGAGUAACAUGUAGGUAUCUGCCCUUUGGCCUGGAAUAACACGAGGAAACUUGUGCUAAUACCGGAUAAGUCUUUACGGAGAAAGCUUUAUGCACCAUUGGAUGAGCCUGCACUUGAUUAGUUUGUUGGUGGGGUAAUGGCCUACCAAGACUGUGAUCAAUAGCUGAUUUGAGAGGAUGAUCAGCCACAUUGGGACUGAGACACGGCCCAAACUCCUACGGGAGGCAGCAGUGGGGAAUCUUGCACAAUGGAGGAAACUCUGAUGCAGCGAUGCCGCGUGAGUGAAGAAGGCCUUUGGGUUGUAAAGCUCUUUCGUCGGGGAAGAAAAUGACUGUACCCGAAUAAGAAGGUCCGGCUAACUUCGUGCCAGCCGCCGCGGUAAUUC
rnacentral:rRNA from 1 species